UCAAGAAGAAAUAGAAAAUCUGAAUAAACUUUAAGAGACUGAGUCAGUUUUCAGAAACCCCACACAAAGAAAAGCCCAGACUGGAUGGCUUCUCUGUUGAACUCUAAGCACAGCAACAUGAACCUAGUGGGAGCAGCAGAUGGAAAGGAAAUAGAGACAGGCCAGAGGGAUCUAGGCAGUAUGGAUGGGACCGACCUCACAGAGGAGACUGCCUACCUCAGAUAGCAAUAGAGGAGAGUCGGUUUGGGCCCUGGAUGACAGAUCGUAACUGUCCUGAGUGGCUGGACAUCUUAGAGUGAACAGCAGACAGCACCGGCUUCAUGUGAGAGUCCUGCCUGGACAUUGAGGAUGGAUCCGAGAGAGAAGCGCAGAGCCUGACGGAUCAGACACCACCACCCCUUAGCGGCGACGAAACCGAGCGGUAGCAUGGGAGGAUGCCGCCUCCUCCAGGAAGCUCUCUAGCGCUUUUCCGAGUCCUGGAGCCAGGCGGGACUUCUCUGUGGUCGCCUAGAAGGAGACCAACAAUUGUCAGCACAGCAAAACUGGGCAUUUCUUUUCUUACUGAGCUUUGCAGCUACCUACACAGUUGUGUGUGGCAUCUCCUCCUGGGUGCAAGGACAUGAGAUGACAUCAGUUACUGUGAUCUCCAGUAAAAUGUUUAAUACAAGUGG
rnacentral:lncRNA from 1 species